CAGACAUGAAGAGGGGGAUUUGUAAGAAAUUGUAUUAGAUAUUGGUAACUUGUUUUAACAACUUCUCAACAUUACCUAUAAGUUGACACAACAUACACAUCCCCUCUUUCUCUUGGACAUAUGCUGGACACAUAGGACAUAUACKCGGCACCCACAAUUCCCCUCCCCCAUGACAAUCACACAGACACACCCAACCCAUGGUUGGACCUCAGGACAAAGAACUCUCAGGAACCAAUGGAACGUGGACACCAGGCCUGAUCAGGACUACCCAAGACCCAGAUCGACCAAUCGGAAGGCCGGACUCGCAGAUCUACCUACUUUGCUUGUUGUCUAUAUAGUACUGUACAUUUCUGGAAACUGGUCUCUUUUCCGGACGAUUCACUAAGAGUCAGACUGAAAGAGCCUUGCUGCAAGAUUUUACUAAGAUAUCUUUACACGUAAUUAAACGGCCUUAUUAUAAAAUUA